rnacentral:rRNA from 1 species
GACGAACGCUGGCGGCGUGCUUAACACAUGCAAGUCGAACGAUGAAGCAAAGAAUUGAAGCUUCGGCAGAAAUUCAUUUCGGAUUAGUGGCAGACGGGUGAGUAACGCGUGAGCAACCUACCUCUUACAAAGGGAUAGCCUCGGGAAACCGGGAUUAAUACCAUAUAACAUUGCGACGAAGCAUUUCGAUGCAAUCAAAGCUACGGCGGUAAGAGAUGGGCUCGCGUCCCAUUAACCAGAUGGUGAGGUAACGGCUCACCAUAGUAACGAUGGGUAACCGGGCAGAGAGGGUGAACGGUCACACUGGAACUGAGACACGGUCCAGACUCCUACGGGAGGCAGCAGUGGGGAAUAUUGCACAAUGGAGGGAACUCUGAUGCAGCGACGCCGCGUGAGUGAUGAAGGAAUUCGUUUCGUAAAACUCUGUUCUAUGGGAAGAAAAGGACUGUACCAUAGGAGAAAGCUCCGGCUAAAUACGUG